rnacentral:rRNA from 1 species
AUGCAAGCUGAACGGCAACUUUUGUAGCAAUACGGGAGCUAGAGUAGCGUAAGGGUGCGUAACACGUAUGCAAUCUGCCCGCAACAGGAGUAUAGCUCUUCGAAAGGGGAAUUAAUGCUCCAUAGGAAUAUUGGGGGGCAUCCUUUGAUAUUUAAACCUGAGGGGGUUGCGGAUGAGCAUGCGCAUGAUUAGUUAGUUGGUAGGGUAACGGCCUACCAAGACGAUGAUCAUUAGGGGAACUGAGAGGUUGAUCCCCCACACUGGCACUGAGAUACGGGCCAGACUCCUACGGGAGGCAGCAGUAGGGAAUAUUGGUCAAUGGGUGAGAGCCUGAACCAGCCAUGCCGCGUGCAGGAAGAAGGCCUUCUGGGUUGUAAACUGCUUUUAUCUGGGGAUAAAAACACUGUGCGCAGUGGAUUGAAGGUACCAGAGGAAUAAGCCACGGCUAACUACGUGCCAGCAGCCGCGGUAAUACGUAGGUGGCGAGCGUUGUCCGGAUUUAUUGGGUUUAAAGGGUGCGUAGGCGGCUUAUUAAGUCAGUGGUGAAAGACGGCAGCUCAACUGUCGAGGUGCCAUUGAUACCGAUGAGCUAGAGUACUGAUGAGGUAGGCGGAAUGGACGGUGUAGCGGUGAAAUGCAUAGAUAUCGUCCAGAACACCGAUAGCGAAGGCAGCUUACUAAGGAGUAACUGACGCUGAGGCACGAUAGUGUGGGGAUCAAACAGGAUUAGAUACCCUGGUAGUCCACACUGUAAACGAUGAUCACUAGAUG